UACGUAGGGUGCGAGCGUUGUCCGGAAUUACUGGGCGUAAAGAGCUCGUAGGCGGUUUGUCGCGUCGUCCGUGAAAACUUGGGGCUCAACCCCAAGCUUGCGGGCGAUAGGGGCAGACUUGAGUACUGCAGGGGAGACUGGAAUUCCUGGUGUAGCGGUGAAAUGCGCAGAUAUCAGGAGGAACACCAGCGGCGAAGGCGGCGCUCUGGGCCGGAACUGACGCUGAGGAGCGAAAGCGUGGGGAGCAAACAGG
rnacentral:rRNA from 1 species